CGAGAAGACAAAUAGAUUUGUACUUGAUGAUCUCUUUCAUCGAGGUAGGAGUUACAACAUUCCUGAGGUAACCAUUUCAGAAGACUAAAUCUCUCCUUUAACCAUACCUACCGUAAUUGUGGAACCAAAUUGGGAAUUGGGGAACCAAAGAAUCGCCAAGGCCUGAGCGACCUUUACAUGUGGUAUUAAGACAGAAUAUACAUUCCGAACAAAGAAUGUAUAAUUUGAAGACAAAGAACAGUAUCUUAAGCAAUAAUCCAGAUAUAUGAAGCUGUCUAAUGGACCUUUUAUAUUUAUAACCAUUUCGAUUUCCAAAUCUCUGGCUCUAAUAAAACUUCACAAGCUUCGGAGAUGUUAACGUGAAAACCCUAAUAUCGAAAUUACCAGAAAUUUGGACAUAGGGUAUAACCAGGCU